CAGCAGGGGAUUGUGCUUCUGUUCUGAGGCCUCUAGGCCGUGGUUUUGUGUUGGGGCCAUAUUGCAUGUGGAAACUAAAACCCAGUUAUUUGUAAGUAAUCCUUAGUUUCAAUGAAAAAAUCAAAGGUCAAAUUUGAAGAAAUUUUGGAGCCAGCCUAGCUUAGAUGUCUCCUCUAGCCAGAAACCCAAGGGUUAGGUAAUAAAGAGGCCCAGUAUAGAGAAGACCUGCUUUUGCCUGGCCCAUAGGGUUUUGCAGGGCUGGGUUGGCCCACAGGAGAUGAUGUCCUUGGCUGGCCCAUGUCUUCAGCUCCUGGUAUUUCCUGACCCCUGAAGUAGUACUAUCUGCCGGUUGGCCUGUUGCUGGCUGCCUCAGAUGCAGUCUCAGGGCAUUCCACACGUUCUUUCUAUGCUGAGUGGAUCAUGUGUCCUGGGCUGGGGCUGACUCACCUGGUGUUUGUUCAGUAGGGGCAAGUUCCUGGGCCCUGGGUUUCCGGGAGUGUUGUUAUACACAGUUCCUGACACAGCUCCUUCUCCUCCCUUGUGAUUUCUUCCUAGUGUGGACUUUGAUGAUGAGAAUGCUGUGCCAGAGUAUAAAGGGCUCUCAGAGCGGAGUCAGGCCGUUGGGGCAGUCCUCAGUCUCCUCCUGGUGGCACUGACUGGCUGUCUGCUGGCCUUGCUGCUUCAUAAGAAGGAGAGAAGGGAAACUGUGAUAAACAAGCUGACCAAUUGCUGCAGAAGGAGCUCGGG
rnacentral:lncRNA from 1 species